rnacentral:lncRNA from 1 species
UUCUCUCCCUCUCUCUCUUUUUCUUCUUAUCUCUCUGUUUCUUUCUUUUUCUCCUUCCUUCCUUCCCUCUCUCUCCUCGUCGAUGUCUUAUUUCUUCCACCGACCAAAUCUAGGUCUCCGAGGUCUUUUCUCCCUAAAUCUUUUCCCCGCCAAUCGAAUCUCACCACCAGAUCUGGGUUUAGCCGAACCAAGGCCUUUAACUCAAACCUCCCCUUUUCUUUCUCUAUGGAAAUCCCAAAAGCCCUAACACUUAACCACCCUUACCUUUAAAAAAAAAACACAGCUUUUGCCACCACUACCCGAAUUGCG